rnacentral:ncRNA from 1 species
UGUCCUUGUAAUUUGGGGGAUUGGCCCCAGAGUAUCCACGAUCCGGCCGUAACCGGAUGUAUCCAGGGAAA